UACGUAGGGUGCAAGCGUUGUCCGGAAUUAUUGGGCGUAAAGAGCUCGUAGGCGGUCUGUUGCGUCGGCUGUGAAAACCCGGGGCUCAACUCCGGGCCUGCAGCCGAUACGGGCAGACUAGAGUUCGGCAGGGGAGACUGGAAUUCCUGGUGUAGCGGUGAAAUGCGUAGAUAUCUGGAGGAAUACCGGUGGCGAAGGCGGCAUCCUGGACCGGCAUUGACGCUGAGGAGCGAAAGCUAGGGGAGCAAACGGG
rnacentral:rRNA from 1 species